rnacentral:lncRNA from 1 species
GUGGGUCGUGCGCGCCCCAACACCUCCCCCUGGCGGCCCGCGCGCCCCACUGCGCGUCCCCCACCCCCGCCUUGGGGGGAGGGGGCUUUGCUGUGGGAUCCGGGUGGAGCCCCCGAGGGCUUUCACACCCCACCCCGGGCCUGCGGCCGCCGUGGGACCCGCUCGGGUGUGGGCUAGAGCCGCGGGCGGAGGAUGUGGACCCACAUUCUGCCUUCAGGUCGUGUCAUCUGAUCCCGGCAGCCCCUCUGGGAGGCAGGCUCAUCAUGUUUUGUUCAUGAGGAAACUGAGGCACAGAGUGGUGAAGUCAGCUGUCCGGGUUCUCAAACUAGAGUGACAGGGUGAAGAUAUGCACCCGGAGCCCUUCCCACUGGGCUCAGCCCGUCUCCCAGGAUGGACACAAGAACAGGACGGAAGCGGGAUCCGAACCUCUGGAGGUCAGAUGUCCGAAAUCAGUGUCACUGGGCUGAAGUCAAGGUGCUGGCAGGGGUGGCUCCCUCUGGAGGUUCUGGAGGAGAGGCCGUCUCCUGCCUUUUCCAGCUUGUGGACGCUACCUGCAUUUUGUGGCUCAUGACCCCUUGGUGACCUCCAGAAGAUGGACAAGACAAGGAAAUAAUUGCUCCUGUUGUCACAUCUCCUACUUCCUCC